UCGUAAAUUUUAAGUAGGUAACGACUAAUCAGCUUCGUUAUAUUUUAGACUAGUUGUAACGGAGCCGUAAUUUUUGACUACUUAGCUUCGAUACCUUUUAUAUUAGUCGUAAAUUAGUAGUAGUUAAUGACUAUUUAGCUUCGUUAUCUUUUAGACUAGUCGUAAGAGAGUCGUAAUUUACGACUAAUUAGCUUUGAUUUUUGUUUUAACCCUAAAACCGAAACCCCAAUCCCCAAAUCACAAACAUCAUAAGCUAUAAUACACUUCCAAACCCCAAACUACAAACCUCAAACAUCCUAAUUGAACAAACAUGAUCGGAUAAGUUAUAUAAAUAUUAUAUGUAAUACAAAGUGUUUAAUAAUACAAUAGAAACUCGACCACUCAUCAUCAGAAACAUC
rnacentral:lncRNA from 1 species